rnacentral:rRNA from 1 species
CCUACGGGUGGCUGCAGUGAGGAAUAUUGGUCAAUGGACGAGAGUCUGAACCAGCGACGCCGCGUGAAGGAUGACUGCCCUAUGGGCUGUAAACUUCGUCUAUAAAGGAAUAAAACGAGGCAGGUGAGCCUCUUUGCAUGUACUUUAUGAAUAAGGAUCGCCUAACUCCGCGCCAGCAGCCGCGGUAAUACGGAGGAUCCGAGCGUUAUCCGGAUUUAUAGGGGUUAAAGGGAGCGUAGGUGGGUUGUUAAGUCAGUUGUGAAAGUUUGCGGCUCAACCGUGAAACUGCAAUUGAUACUGGCAAACUUGAGUAUGUGAGAGGAUAGUGGAAUUCCAGGUGUAGCAGUGAAAUGCGUAGAUAUCACGAGGAACAUCGAUGGCGAAGGCAGCUAACUAGAAUGUGACUGACAUUGAUGAGCGAAAGUGUGGGUAUCAAACAGGAUUAGAUACCCCAGUAGUC